rnacentral:rRNA from 1 species
UACGGAGGGUGCAAGCGUUAUCCGGAUUCACUGGGUUUAAAGGGUUCGUAGGCGGUGUGGCAAGUCGGGAGUGAAAUCUCUGGGCUCAACUCAGGGGCUGCUUCCGAAACUGCCGUGCUAGAGUGUGGGAGAGGCGCGUGGAAUUGCAGGUGUAGCGGUGAAAUGCGUAGAUAUCUGCAGGAACACCGGUGGCGAAGGCGGGACUCUGGGCCGAUACUGACGCUGAGGAGCGAAAGCGUGGGGAGCAAACAGG